GGCCUCUUGUUUAUAUAUGAGGUCUGACCUGCCCGGUGAAUUAUUAUUUUAACGGCCGCAGUAUUUUGACUGUGCAAAGGUAGCAUAAUCAUUAGUCUUUUAAUAGGAGGCUGGUAUGAAGGGUUUGACGAGGUGUUAACUGUCUCAUUUAAUUUGAUAUUAAAAUUUAAUUUUUCAGUCAAAAAGCUGAAAUUGUAUUGGAAGACGAGAAGACCCUAUAGAGCUUUAUAAUUAAAGUUUUAAUUUAUUUUUGUUUAUUAUUAUUUAUUAUUAUUUUAAUUAUUUUGUUGGGGUGACAAAAAUAUAUGUAUAACUUUUUUAUUUCUUUAACAUUGAUUAAUGAUUUUUAGAUCCAAUUUUAUUGAUUGAUAGAACAAGUUACCUUAGGGAUAACAGCGUAAUCUUCCUUGAGAGUUCUUAUUUACAGGAAGGCUUGCGACCUCGAUGUUGGAUUAAGAUAAUAAUUAGGUGUAGCCGCUUAAUAUAUAGGUCUGUUCGACCUUUAAAUUCUU
rnacentral:rRNA from 1 species